AGAAUUUUUGUUCACUUGCUUGGUGAGGAUGAAUUUAUGGUGAUGCUUGUUCUCUUUUCUGUCCAUGACAGGUGAACAUCAACUUUCAUUAUAGAGUAUUAUUGGCAUUAUUGUCCAAUGUGUGAUGGGGCUGAUUGCAGUAAUAUUUGUACUGGUUUUCCUGUGGCACAGCUGUCGUCACAGGGAGCCACAAAUUGCGAAAGACAUUAAACAAGUGGACAAUGAGCCAACCAACCUCAAUCAGCCAACCAACCUCAAUGAAACCUCAAAAGAAGGUUCAAAUAUGAAACUUCGAAAGAAAAAGAAGGGCGAGAAGUAAGAGCAUGCUCAGUGAGGACAACUGGACCUGUCCACCCACAGUAAGUAAAGGCACUGACCCUCGGGAAUCAAAGGUCCCACCACCUGCCAGUACUUCCACAACAUCCUGGA